CUUGGUCAUUUAGAGGAAGUAAAAGUCGUAACAAGGUUUCUAAUACAUAAGUUAAUGUGCUAGGACAUGAUCCUUCUGCAGUGUACACUUAUGGAAGCCUCUGCAACCACGCAAGUGGUAGGCCUGAGCGACUUUAAUUAGAAAAAAAUAAUUCAGAGCCGUUGCAAGUCAGCUGCUUAGCUGGCGACACUUUUGAAUUGUCGGGGACACCCUAAAGCCUAGUCACACCAACCUAAGGGGGGAAAUCUCUUUGGGGGCCUAUGCUCAUCACAUAGGGGACGGUAAUAGUUGGCCAGGAUAGUUCUGCAUGGGCAGAGAAGAUGGGUAAUCCGCAGCGAAGCCCCUACGUCCUCGUGGAUAUGGGGAGACGUUCACAGACUAAGUGGAAGUGGGUGGGCAUUAUUGCCUGCUUAAGAUAUAGUCGGGCCCUCUGGGAAACUAGGAGGGAAGAGUACACUGCUCUGUUAACCGUUCCGUAGGUGAACCUGCGGAAGGAUCAUUAUUGAGUGAAGGGUUUUCUAAGAACCUGACCUCCCAACCCUUGUGUUCUUUACCGCUUGCUUUGGCGGGCCCGUCACUGCUGUGACCGCCGAAGGGUUAUGUUUUUAACUAAUCUUUGGGCCCGUGCCCGCCAGAGAUGUCUGAACUCUUGUUAUGAAAUAGGUUGUCUGAGUUAUAAAGAAAAAUAAGUCAAAACUUUCAACAACGGAUCUCUUGGUUCCGGCAUCGAUGAAGAACGCAGCGAAAUGCGAUAAGUAAUGUGAAUUGCAGAAUUCCGUGAAUCAUCGAAUCUUUGAACGCACAUUGCGCCCUCUGGUAUUCCGGAGGGCAUGCCUGUCCGAGCGUCAUUGCUGUACCUCAAGCCCGGCUUGUGUGUUGGGCCUACCGUCCUGUUUGGAUGGUGGCCCGAAAGGCAGUGGCGGCGUCGCGUCCUGGUCCUUGAAGCGUAUGGGGCUUUGUCACCCGCUUGGAGGCCGGCCGAUGCCGUAGCCCAUCGUGGAUCUUCCACAUUUAUUCUGAUGGACCUCGGAUCAGGUAGGGAUACCCGCUGAACUUAAGCAUAUCAAUAAGCGGAGGA
rnacentral:rRNA from 1 species